UCCAUGUUCCAGGACUACAUUCCUGAGAUUGUGGAAGGUGUUUCUGAAUUCGAGGCACCCCCGUCGCCCAACUCCAGCUAUGGUGGAUCAUUCCCAGUGGAUGAGGACUAUGCGAAGGAGCCACCAAUGCUUCCGCCCCAGCUUCACCUCACAGUUCUUGGCUCUCGAGAAGCCGAGGCAUCUUCUACAAAACCUCAGCAUGUUGUUCUCAACCAUCUCUUCAUUGAGAAAGGAUGGGCAUCGCAGUCACUGGUGGCCCUUGGUCUGACCCAUAGGUUUCAAUCCAAGUAUGUAACUGUGGUCCUUUACAAACCUAUGAGAAGGCAAUAGCAAAACUUACCG
rnacentral:lncRNA from 1 species